AGCAGCCGCGGUAAUACAGAGGUCCCAAGCGUUGUUCGGAUUUACUGGGCGUAAAGAGUGCGUAGGCGGCUAGAAAAGUUUGGUGUGAAAUCUUCGGGCUUAACCCGGAAACUGCACUGAAAACUAUCUGGCUAGAGGAUCGGAGAGGAGAUUGGAAUUCUCGGUGUAGCAGUGAAAUGCGUAGAUAUCGAGAGGAACACCAGUUGCGAAGGCGGAUCUCUGGACGGUUUCUGACGCUGAGGCACGAAAGCUGGGGUAGCGAAGAGGAUUAGAUACCCUCGUAGUCCCAGCCGUAAACGGUGCACACUUGCUGUGGGCGGAUUCGACCCCGUCCGUGGCGAAGCUAACGCGAUAAGUGUGCCGCCUGGGGAGUACGGUCGCAAGAUUAAAACUCAAAGAAAUUGACGGGGGCCUGCACAAGCGGUGGAGUAUGUGGCUUAAUUCGAUGCAACGCGAAGAACCUUACCUGGCCUUGACAUGUAGUGGACCGGGUGCGAAAUCACCCUUUUCUUCGGAACUGCUACACAGGUGCUGCAUGGCUGUCGUCAGCUCGUGUCGUGAGAUGUUGGGUUAAGUCCCGCAACGAGCGCAACCCCCGUGUUCUGUUGCCACCCAGAUGUAAAUCUGGAGCACUCUGGACAGACUGCCUGGUUUCAACUAGGAGGAAGGUGGGGAUGACGUCAAGUCAGUAUGGCCCUUACGGCCAGGGCUGCACACGUACUACAAUGCCUGAUAUAAUGGGAAGCAAGACCGCGAGGUGGAGCAAAUCCUCAAAAUCAGGCCCAGUUCAGAUUGUAGGCUGCAACUCGCCUACAUGAAGGAGGAAUCGCUAGUAAUGCCGUAUCAGCUACGACGGCGUGAAUACGUUCCCAGGCCUUGUACACACCGCCCGUCACAUCAUGAAAGUCGAUUGUACCCGAAGUCGCUGAGUUAACCGCAAGGAGACAGGCGCCGAAGGUAUGGUUGGUAAUUGGGAUGAAGUCGUAACAAGGUAGCCG
rnacentral:rRNA from 1 species